rnacentral:rRNA from 1 species
AGUGAACGCUGGCGGUAGGCCUAACACAUGCAAGUCGAACGGCAGCACAGUAAGAGCUUGCUCUUACGGGUGGCGAGUGGCGGACGGGUGAGGAAUACAUCGGAAUCUACUUUUUCGUGGGGGACAACGUUGGGAAACUUACGCUAAUACCGCAUACGACCUACGGGUGAAAGCAGGGGAUCUUCGGACCUUGCGCGAUUGAAUGAGCCGAUGUCGGAUUAGCUAGUUGGCGGGGUAAAGGCCCACCAAGGCGACGAUCCGUAGCUGGUCUGAGAGGAUGAUCAGCCACACUGGAACUGAGACACGGUCCAGACUCCUACGGGAGGCAGCAGUGGGGAAUAUUGGACAAUGGGCGCAAGCCUGAUCCAGCCAUACCGCGUGGGUGAAGAAGGCCUUCGGGUUGUAAAGCCCUUUUGUUGGGAAAGAAAAGCAGCAGGUUAAUACCCCGCUGUUCUGACGGUACCCAAAGAAUAAGCACCGGCUAACUUCGUG